UCAACCAUCAAGCCUGGCUUGUUGUUGGACCCUUUGCCGGUGAGACACCCGGCAGGUCCGAAAGACAGUGACGGUGUCGUGUUUGACCCUAGAUGCAACGAGCUUUUAUAGCACGCAUUGAAGUGUCGGUCGGCCCGGUCUUCACCAUCAAAUUUCUCAAGGUUGACCUCGGAUCAGGUAGGAAUACCCGCUGAACUUAA
rnacentral:misc_RNA from 1 species